rnacentral:lncRNA from 1 species
UAAUUAAUCCACCCCCGCAACAUAAAAGUCAACAUCUAUUAGGUAGAACUUACUUGAAAACAUUAUGUAAAGUUAUAAAUUUUUUUUUUUGAAAUCUAUAUACUACAUUUUGAAAUUCAAACUUUUUAAUCACUUUCUGGAAUAAUUAGAGGAUCAUCAGCUCUCGUUAAUGCAUGUUUCAUUACGCUUGAAUCUGAUGAGAUCCCCUCCCACCCAGCAAGGACAUAUGUGAAAGUCAAGUCGAAUGCACCAGCUACCAAAAUAUUUUGUGGGAAAAUCUUUUCUCCCACGGAAUCUUGGAGCAUCAACUUUGGGCACUUCGACACGUAUAUGCAUUCCGUCGAUCAUACCAACACAAUUCUAAAAUUAAUUGAUCAUUUAUUAAAUAAAAUUAUACGUAUUUACAAAAAUUUAAUCGAGCAGUUUUAAUAUAUUUACCUUAAAAAAUGAAAAAAACUUAGAAUUGUUGGUUAUUUCUGAUGGCACUCACAAUCCAUCAAGCUGAUUAAGAAAUUUAUCAGCCAGUUUUAUUAUAAAUCAUAUGACAUUUUGAAAAUGACGACUUAUCGUCUUUCCUGAUUGUUGAAAAUGCUAAGACAUGACUCGAUUUCUCUGAUUAUGUCCUAAUAAGUAAAGUGUUUUGAGUAUUUGUUCUUCUACAGUUACACGAAUAGUAGGCCUAAGUCCACCUUUUGUAACUAGCAGAUGACAUAAUUUCGUAAAUGAUGGAACUAUCAUCCUAAUAAUGUGCCGACAUAACUCACUUGAUACCAAGCUUUCCAUAAGCUUGGCUUGAACUUUCUCACCUUCAAACCUUAAUUAAUGUACAUGACUAAGUUUUCUCAUUUUAUAAAUAUAAAUUCCUACAAGUAUCACUAAAACUCCCACUAACAUUGCUAUGUGUUCCAUAUGAUCCAUCUGAAAAUGAAUGCGAAAUAUCAAAUGUGUAUCUACUGAUGAGGUAAUUAACUAUACGGUAGUGUUUUAACAUGAGGAAAGUAUUCAAAUUCAAAUAGUCACUUGCAUGAGAAAUAAAAGAAAAAAUAAAGAUAAAGAAAAAUGAUUCUAACUGCAAUGAAUCAAAAAAUAGUCGAGCUAAAUUCUAACAGAACAAAGAAGCAGAACAUGAGCCACAAUUCUCACAUAUACAAGUGUUCCUUGAAUAUGAUGUGUGUUCUGCUAAAACAACCGUUCCUUUUGCAACAAAACUAUAUAUUAAAGAAAAGGUAAGAUAAAACGAAAAUUUUUCCGUUAAACAACCAAUUAAAAUAUCAAUUUAAAUGCAAUUCCUCAUUUACUUUAACUCCUUAACUCUCUAUUUCCCUAACAAUUCAACUGUUAAUCUAUUAUUAAAAUAAUUAUGGUU